UUUACACUCUUCACUCUCCAUCAUCAUCUUUUUAUUCUCCUAAAGAAACAUUGAAGAUUUAGCAGAAGAAAGAAUAAAAAGAAGAAAGAAGGGGAACAAAGAUCUUUGACAACUUUCAGAAAACCUAGAUCCUUCAAUACUUAUCUGAAUAUGACAUGGAGUAAUCUAAACCUCUCAUCAGAAACGAUACGGGUCAAAUGUGAACCGUUGGACUAAUCAGUCUAGAAUAAUGGACUCAUAUGUCAGCCAUGUGAUGGAAUAAUAGUUUGUUACAUAUGGUUAGGUUCUUUACAAAUUAGAAGGUGACAUGUGUAUAUUGUUAUCGCUUUAUUUUUUUUAUUUUAUUCAAUAUUUAUGCUUGUAUAUAUACAUGGUAUUAGAUAUGAAUAGACAUUCAGAAAUUUUCCCCAAAAACUCUACAAUUUUUUUCAUCCUUGUGGAGCAUUCUGGUGCCUCUUCUUCCUUCUCUAGAGAUCAAAUGGCUCAUAUUUUCAAUCUGUUCAUAAUUGUAUAAUAUCAGUACAAAUCCAGCUCUUCUACCUUAUCCAAGGUAUUUAAUUUCAAAUUCCAUUGCAAUUUCCAUUAAUAUUUUCCCACAAUUUUGACCUAAUCUUCCUUCUAUAACCCCUCCCCCUCACUGUUUAGAGAAUUCUUUUGAAAGGGGGAAACAAAAUUUUCAUUCAAGACGAAGAACACACUCAUAAUUUGUCAACAUCUAUUCUAAGAAGAGAGGUUUGUGGGUUUUAGAUUUUGUCUGGGAUUUAAAAGCUUUCUCAGGCAAAGCUCUGCGUUCGUGCUAGUUAAAUAUAUUCCUCUCUUCUCGUUGUCUCCUGCUCGCUGCUCUACAAAUGGCUAUUUUUUGACUUAAGUUAUUUGUUGAGUUUCCAUAUAAUCUUUUUUGUCUUAAUUGUGAUUGCUUAAAAUUCAGAAUCUAGCCUUUGAAAUCUUGUGUUAGCUAUAGAUUAACCUGAUUAAUUUAAAUUUGCUAGCUUGAAAUGGAAGUUGAAUCAACCAACUAUAUGUUCGACAAAGCACAAGCAAAUCUAAAUUAAAUGAAAUGACUAAUCUAGGUUUUUUGCGUGCAUUGUUUGUCAUGUAUUGAUGUGCUGAAUUUGAUGAUCUUUGCCAAUUAUGUAAUAAAGGUUCAAAUAUAUCUGAUAGUUACCUUUUACAGUUUAUUACUUCAAUUUUGUCAUAAGCUUUGUUAGACAACAAGACCCUCUAUUUAUUUCGCAUUGUAUAGAUUUUAACAUGAUUACUUCAUGUCUUUGUUAUUUAAAUUUAAUAUUUACAUAGUCAAAUUAUCUCUCCAUUCCCUUUACAAAUGUUUAUUCUUUUUUUAUGCAUAAACUCCCUCUGAUUGAGUUCAUUGGACAUCUUUCCUCUUCUUGCAUUUCGGGUUCGGUUGAAACCCAACACCCCUCUUUGGGUCAGCCUCACCACUCCUUCAAAGAAAAAGGAAAGCAAAUCUAGAGGUUUCAGAAGCUAAAGUACAUAAGAUGUUCAGUAGAUACAGAUUUAUACAAGCAAUGCAAACAAAAAGGAAAUAGGCUAAACCCAUAAAUUUCAGCAGUACAAAAAUGGGCUUAAAAAGCCUAAAUGAGGCAGCUUCAUUAUAAUUUAGGAAAAGUUGAAGAAUGAGCCUAUUAGUUCAGCAAUCUUAACUUGGGUAUGUUAAUUUUGUUCUGCCGUUGACGCAAAGAGAAAUAAUGAAGAAAAUGAAUACCGAAAAACGGAAAGGAAAACUGUAACUACAAGGUUUUGUGACGGGUUAUAGUUCAUACCAAUUGGAUCCCGGUCUACUUGAACCAUCCGUUUUUUCUUAUACCCAUAGGUCAUCGGAUAUUUGGAUGGAAAUGUUGAUAUGAUUUUAAAUACGAAGAGGUAUGGGAUGUGAUGGAAAGUUUCAGGUACACAUAAAGAAAUAUCACAUUCAUCCGCUAGUUAUAGAAGUGAUUCAAUUAUCCGGAUUCUAUAGUGUAUAUAGAUCAAAUCAGCCUAUAAGUGAUCAUAGCUUGAUCACUUAACUAGUAGAGAGAUGGUGUCACGAGAUUCAUACGUUUCAAUUUACGACGGAAGAGACAACAAUCACCUUGCAAGAUGUAGAAGUGUUGUAUGCUUACUUGUGAAUGGUAAUCCAGUGCUCGGUAAUGAGUCAAUGAGGACCAUAAGAGAUUGCAAAACAUUUGUCAAAGAAAAUAGUAACAAAAACUGAGGCCAAGAACUCCCCUGGAAAGGCGAAGAACUAUAAUGGAGCGUUUCAGAUGUUGCUUAGUAUCUAGUAUUACAAUUUGCGGGUUAGUACUAGAAUUAGGAACUUGAGAACAGUGAACUAAAUCUGCUAAUCUUUGGUGAGAGGCUUAUUCUGAAGUUCCACAGUACAUUGUACAAUGUUUCUGAUACCAAUAAAAAAUUGAGAAAACUUUUAGCAUC